rnacentral:tRNA from 1 species
AAACUUAGGAUAACACCCCCCAUACC